GAGCGGUAGAGAGAAGCUUGCUUCUCUUGAGAGCGGCGGACGGGUGAGUAAUGCCUAGGAAUCUGCCUGGUAGUGGGGGAUAACGUCCGGAAACGGACGCUAAUACCGCAUACGUCCUACGGGAGAAAGCAGGGGACCUUCGGGCCUUGCGCUAUCAGAUGAGCCUAGGUCGGAUUAGCUAGUUGGUGGGGUAAUGGCUCACCAAGGCGACGAUCCGUAACUGGUCUGAGAGGAUGAUCAGUCACACUGGAACUGAGACACGGUCCAGACUCCUACGGGAGGCAGCAGUGGGGAAUAUUGGACAAUGGGCGAAAGCCCUGAUCCAGCCAUGCCGCGUGUGUGAAGAAGGUCUUCGGAUUGUAAAGCACUUUAAGUUGGGAGGAAGGGCAGUUGGCUAAUACGUAACUGUUUUGACGUUACCGACAGAAUUAGCACCGGCUUACUUCUGUG
rnacentral:rRNA from 1 species